UGGGGAAUAUUGGACAAUGGGCGCAAGCCUGAUCCAGCCAUGCCGCGUGUGUGAAGAAGGCCUUCGGGUUGUAAAGCACUUUUGUCCGGAAAGAAAUCCUGUCGGUUAAUACCUGGCGGGGAUGACGGUACCGGAAGAAUAAGCACCGGCUAACUUCGUGCCAGCAGCCGCGGUAAUACGAAGGGUGCAAGCGUUACUCGGAAUUACUGGGCGUAAAGCGUGCGUAGGCGGUUCGUUAAGUCAGAUGUGAAAGCCCCGGGCUCAACCUGGGAAUUGCAUUUGAUACUGGCGGGCUAGAGUACGGUAGAGGGUGGUGGAAUUCCCGGUGUAGCAGUGAAAUGCGUAGAGAUCGGGAGGAACAUCUGUGGCGAAGGCGGCCACCUGGACCAGUACUGACGCUGAGGCACGAAAGCGUGGGGAGCAAACAGG
rnacentral:rRNA from 1 species